GGAUUAGAGAAGGCACUAGAGAUAGAGGCUUGGUGGAAUUUUGUUGCCUUCUUAGGAUAAGAAAGGAAGAAAAGAUAUAAAAAUAAAAUCUUAAAAAACCAUAAAGUUGUGGUUGCAAAUCUCCCAUAAGUUCUCUUGUUACCCCACCACCAUAACCAAUCAACCUCAACCUCCCUCUUUCUCUAGAGGGGUUUGUUUUUUUGGGUGGCCACUGCCUAUAGUAACUUCAAAAGAAUAGCAUCUCAUCAUUCAUCCAAGAAUAACAUUUGGGGUUUGUUAAAGUUAGGUUCUUUACUAGAAUUCUGCCUAAAAAAAUCAUCUUUGUAAUCUUUAUCUCCUCAGUGAAAGCUACAGGGAACAGUCAAAGAAUAGAUAAGAUUAAACCCAAUAUACUGUUGUCCAAGAAAGACUCACUAACAUGGUGUUUACAUAGAGAGAGAAAAAGAGUUGUGUUUAGAGUUAGGGUUGUUGAAGGAAGAUGGCAGGUGGUGGUUGUAGCAUAGUAUGGUUUAGGAGGGAUCUGAGAGUGGAAGAUAACCCUGCUUUGGCUGCUGGAGUGAGAGCAGGAGCAGUUAUUGCUGUGUUUAUUUGGGCUCCUGAAGAAGAAGGGCAUUAUUAUCCUGGUAGAGUUUCAAGAUGGUGGCUUAAGCAGAGUUUGGCUCAUCUUGAUUCAUCUUUGAAGAGUCUUGGAACGUCCCUUAUUACAAAGAGAUCUACUGAUAGUGUUUCUUCUCUUCUUGAAGUUGUCAAAUCCACUGGUGCUACUCAGCUCUUCUUCAAUCAUUUGUAUGAUCCUAUUUCACUUGUUAGAGAUCAUCGCACAAAAGAAAUCUUUACAGCUCAAGGUAUAUUGGUGCGUUCCUUUAAUGCUGAUUUGCUCUAUGAACCAUGGGAAGUUAACGAUGAUGAAGGUCGCCCGUUCACAACAUUUUCUGCUUUUUGGGAGAGAUGCCUUAGCAUGCCUUAUGAUCCAGAUGCUCCACUUCUUCCACCUAAAAGGAUUAUUUCUGGUGAUGCAUCAAGAUGCCUUUCAGACAACUUGGUAUUUGAAGAUGAAUCAGAGAAAGGAAGCAAUGCACUUCUUGCUCGGGCAUGGUCACCUGGCUGGAGUAAUGCUGAUAAAGCACUAACUACUUUCGUUAAUGGACCAUUACUUGAGUACUCGCAGAACCGUCGGAAAGCUGAUAGUGCAACAACAUCCUUUCUGUCUCCACAUUUACAUUUUGGAGAAGUCAGUGUUCGUAAGGUAUUCCAUCUUGUUCGCAUCAAGCAAGUUCUCUGGGCCAAUGAAGGAAAUAAAGCUGGUCAAGAGAGUGUUAAUUUGUUCCUCAAGUCCAUUGGGCUGAGGGAGUACUCAAGAUACAUGAGUUUUAAUCAUCCUUAUAGCCAUGAAAGGCCCUUGCUUGGUCACCUAAGGUACUUCCCAUGGGUAGUGGAUGAGGGCUACUUUAAGGCAUGGAGACAAGGUAGAACAGGUUAUCCUUUGGUUGAUGCUGGUAUGAGAGAGUUAUGGGCAACUGGCUGGCUACAUGAUCGUAUCCGAGUUGUGGUAUCUAGUUUCUUUGUGAAGGUUCUGCAGCUUCCAUGGAGGUGGGGAAUGAAAUAUUUUUGGGACACAUUGUUAGAUGCAGAUCUUGAGAGUGAUGCUCUAGGUUGGCAAUAUAUCUCUGGUACCCUACCUGAUGGUCGUGAGCUUGAUCGGAUUGAUAAUCCACAGUUUGUGGGAUACAAGUGUGACCCUCAUGGGGAAUAUGUCCGGCGGUGGCUUCCUGAACUUGCUAGGCUGCCCACCGAAUGGAUACACCAUCCAUGGAAUGCACCAGAAUCUGUACUUGAAGCUGCUGGCAUUGAGCUGGGUUCCAAUUAUCCUCUUCCGAUCAUUGAAAUUGAUUCAGCAAAAGUUAGACUAGAACAAGCCUUAUCACAAAUGUGGCAGAAUGAUGCAGCUGCAAGAGCUGCGAUUGAGAAUGGUAUGGAAGAAGGACAUGGUGACUCUGCUGACUCGCCAAUAGCCUUUCCGCAGGCCAUGCAUAUGGAGAUGGACCACGAAUCAGUCAGGAACAACCCCGUAAUAGUUACUGUUCGACGCUAUGAAGAUCAAAUGGUGCCAAGCAUGACGUCAUCUUUGUUCAGAGCUGAAGAUGAAGAGAACUCUGUGGAUAUUAGGAAUUCAGUUGUGGAAAGUAGGGCAGAAGUUCCAACAGACAUCAAUGUAGCUGAAGGUCCUAGGAGAGACACGCGUGACCAAGCCGUCAUGCAAACAGCUCGAACCAAUGCCACCCCACAUUUUAAUUUUGCGGUAGGGAGGAGGAAUUCUGAAGAUUCAACAGCAGAAUCUUCCAGUAGUACUAGAGAAAGGGAUGGGGGUGUAGUUCCUACAUGGUCUCCCUCAAGUACUAACUAUUCAGACCAAUAUGUUGGUGAUGAUAAUGGUAUUGGGACCAGUUCAUCUUACUUGCAGAGGCAUCCACAGUCUCAUCAGCUAAUGAACUGGCAGCGGCUUUCCCAAACAGGGUAAGCUACGUGAGAAUCUUGAAUCAUCAGUAGAAGACAUUCAUCAAAAAGAGAUGAAAAUGAGUGAUCAUUUAUGUGGAGCUACAAUAGCUACAAGGUGGAGAGGCAAGUGGCUAAUAUGACCAUUUGGCUCAGCACAUUAGUACGGUACUCAUCUACUCUUUAGUCCUGACCUGAUCAGCCAUCACUGUGUCUAUAUCUCUAAUUGAUCAGGUGGUUCGUCUGGAAUUUCAUUCUCAUCUGUCGGGCAACCCCAUUUACCUAAUGUACCAUAUAUGUGUGUCUGCUGUAUAGUAUAGAAGUUCUCAUUAAGACCAAAUAAGUGUUAGAAAGGGGUUACAGUCCUCUGUCAUGCUCACACUUGUGCCUUUCUUUUCUGCUACUUACAUUUUGAUGGCAAUAACGAUUAUCUGAAGUCCUGGCACUGAUUAGAACUUCGUGGAUAUCAUAGUUUUAAACUCUGUUUGCCGGCUGUACAUGUGGUUGAAGCAGCUUCAUCUCAUAUUUUUGUUGUCGGAACAUUGUCACUAUUAUAUAAGAUUUCUAGUUUGAACA